rnacentral:rRNA from 1 species
GAUGAACGCUGGCGGCGUGCUUAACACAUGCAAGUCGAACGGAAAGGCUCCUGCUUGCCGGGGUACUCGAGUGGCGAACGGGUGAGUAACACGUGGGUGAUCUGCCCUGCACUUCGGGAUAAGCCUGGGAAACUGGGUCUAAUACCGGAUAGGACCACAUUUUGGAUGGUGUGGUGGAAAGUUUUUCGGUGUGGGAUGAGCUCGCGGCCUAUCAGCUUGUUGGUGGGGUAAUGGCCUACCAAGGCGUCGACGGGUAGCCGGCCUGAGAGGGUGUACGGCCACAUUGGGACUGAGAUACGGCCCAGACUCCUACGGGAGGCAGCAGUGGGGAAUAUUGCACAAUGGGCGCAAGCCUGAUGCAGCGACGCCGCGUGGGGGAUGACGGCCUUCGGGUUGUAAACUACUUUCGCUAGGGACGAAGCGCAAGUGACGGUACCUGGAGAAGAAGCACCGGCUAACUACGUG